rnacentral:rRNA from 1 species
UGGGGAAUAUUGCACAAUGGGCGCAAGCCUGAUGCAGCCAUGCCGCGUGUAUGAAGAAGGCCUUCGGGUUGUAAAGUACUUUCAGUCGGGAGGAAGGUGUCAAGGUUAAUAACCUUGGCAAUUGACGUUACCGACAGAAGAAGCACCGGCUAACUCCGUGCCAGCAGCCGCGGUAAUACGGAGGGUGCAAGCGUUAAUCGGAAUUACUGGGCGUAAAGCGCACGCAGGCGGUUGAUUGAGUCAGAUGUGAAAUCCCCGGGCUUAACCCGGGAAUUGCAUCUGAUACUGGUCAGCAAGAGUCUUGUAGAGGGGGGUAGAAUUCCAUGUGAAGCGGUGAAAUGCGUAGAGAUGUGGAGGAAUACCGGUGGCGAAGGCGGCCCCCUGGACAAAGACUGACGCUCAGGUGCGAAAGCGUGGGGAGCAAACAGG